GACGAACGCUGGCGGCGUGCUUAACACAUGCAAGUCGAACGAAGAGCGAUGGAAGCUUGCUUCUAUCAAUCUUAGUGGCGAACGGGUGAGUAACGCGUAAUCAACCUGCCCUUCAGAGGGGGACAACAGUUGGAAACGACUGCUAAUACCGCAUACGAUCCAAUCUCGGCAUCGGGACUGGAUGAAAGGUGGCCUCUAUUUAUAAGCUAUCACUGAAGGGGGGGAUUGCGUCUGAUUAGCUAGUUGGAGGGGUAACGGCCCACCAAGGCGAUGAUCAGUAGCCGGUCUGAGAGGAUGAACGGCCACAUUGGGACUGAGACACGGCCCAGACUCCUACGGGAGGCAGCAGUGGGGAAUCUUCCGCAAUGGACGAAAGUCUGACGGAGCAACGCCGCGUGAGUGAUGACGGCCUUCGGGUUGUAAAGCUCUGUUAAUCGGGACGAAUGGUUCUUGUGCGAAUAGUGCGAGGAUUUGACGGUACCGGAAUAGAAAGCCACGGCUAACUACGUG
rnacentral:rRNA from 1 species